rfam:Populus trichocarpa scaffold_3_contig_194, whole genome shotgun sequence.
UCUAGAACUCAAGAUAUGAGCUGAAAACCGAACAGUGUUUGAGCUGCAGGACAGGUUCCGACUUCUCCGUUGUUGCUAAUAUUUGAACUUGAAAAUGGCAGAAUUGAGUUUUGGACCCUUCAUGAAAGUUUUAGGUCUAUGUCUUAUCUUUCCAUC